rnacentral:rRNA from 1 species
GUGGCGGACGGGUGAGUAACGCGUAAAGAACUUGCCUUACAGACUGGGACAACAUUUGGAAACGAAUGCUAAUACCGGAUAUUAUGACUGAGUCGCAUGAUUUGGUUAUGAAAGCUAUAUGCGCUGUGAGAGAGCUUUGCGUCCCAUUAGUUAGUUGGUGAGGUAACGGCUCACCAAGACGAUGAUGGGUAGCCGGCCUGAGAGGGUGAACGGCCACAAGGGGACUGAGACACGGCCCUUACUCCUACGGGAGGCAGCAGUGGGGAAUAUUGGACAAUGGACCAAAAGUCUGAUCCAGCAAUUCUGUGUGCACGAUGAAGUUUUUUCGGAAUGUAAAGUGCUUUCAGUUGGGAAGAAGUCAGUGACGGUACCCAACAGAAGAAGCGACGGCUAAAUACGUGCCAGCAGCCGCGGUAAUACGUAUGUCGCAAGCGUUAUCCGGAUUUAUUGGGCGUAAAGCGCGUCUAGGCGGUUUAGUAAGUCUGAUGUGAAAAUGCGGGGCUCAACCCCGUAUUGCGUUGGAAACUGCUAAACUAGAGUACUGGAGAGGUAGGCGGAACUACAAGUGUAGAGGUGAAAUUCGUAGAUAUUUGUAGGAAUGCCGAUGGGGAAGCCAGCCUACUGGACAGAUACUGACGCUAAAGCGCGAAAGCGUGGGUAGCAAACAGGAUUAGAUACCCUGGUAGUCCACGCCGUAAACGAUGAUUACUAGGUGUUGGGGGUCGAACCUCAGCGCCCAAGCUAACGCGAUAAGUAAUCCGCCUGGGGAGUACGUACGCAAGUAUGAAACUCAAAGGAAUUGACGGGGACCCGCACAAGCGGUGGAGCAUGUGGUUUAAUUNCGACGCAACGCGAGGAACCNUUACCAGCGUUUGACAUCCCAAGAAGUUAACAGAGAUGUUUUCGUGCCCUCUUCGGAAGGAACUUGGUGACAGGUGGUGCAUGGCUGUCGUCACCUCGUGUCGUGAGAUGUUGGGUUAAGUCCCCCAACGAGCGCAACCCCUUUCGUAUGUUACCAUCAUUAAGUUGGGGACUCAUGCGAGACUGCCUGCGAUGAGCAGGAGGAAGGUGGGGAUGACGUCAAGUCAUCAUGCCCCUUAUACGCUGGGCUACACACGUGCUACAAUGGGUAGUACAGAGAGCUGCAAACCUGCGAGGGUAAGCUAAUCUCAUAAAACUAUUCUUAGUUCGGAUUGUACUCUGCAACUCGAGUACAUGAAGUUGGAAUCGCUAGUAAUCGCAAAUCAGCUAUGUUGCGGUGAAUACGUUCUCGGGUCUUGUACACACCGCCCNACACACCACGAGAGUUGGUUGCACCCUGAAGUAAACAGGCCUAANCCGUAAGGAGGG